CAGUCGCCGCGGUAAUACAGAGGGUGCGAGCGUUAAUCGGAUUUACUGGGCGUAAAGCGUGCGUAGGCGGCUUCUUAAGUCGGGUGUGAAAUCCCUGAGCUUAACUUAGGAAUUGCAUUCGAUACUGGGAAGCUAGAGUAUGGGAGAGGAUGGUAGAAUUCCAGGUGUAGCGGUGAAAUGCGUAGAGAUCUGGAGGAAUACCGAUGGCGAAGGCAGCCAUCUGGCCUAAUACUGACGCUGAGGUACGAAAGCAUGGGGAGCAAACAGGAUUAGAUACCCCGGUAGUCCCUGUCUCUUAUAC
rnacentral:rRNA from 1 species